AAUUCAACCAACUUCACGUACGGCGGCACCUACAGGGUCGGAUCCUCUGCCAGCAACACGCAGGUACAGAUCUGGAGUGGCACUUAUCUGGGAACGCUUUGGAUGAGCAGGCACGUUUCCGACCAGAAUUGCGCACCCGUCACUGUCAAUUUCUUCGGGGACGCUCCCGACGGCAGUGCUAAACUGCUGACGUCAUACCAGUUCUUGGACGUUAGAAGUGAUGUCACCUUACAGGAUAGCGACUUCAGGCGACCAGAUGAGUGCAAACACACCGAAACACCUGUUGGGAAGUGACCGAUGCAUGUAGGACUGGUUUCGCAAUAUCUUUGUUUUUUUGCUGGUCAAAUAAAAGUAUAAGUAUUUGCUCAGGAA